rnacentral:rRNA from 1 species
GCAGACGACUCCUACGGGAGGCAGCAGUGGGGAAUAUUGCACAAUGGGCGCAAGCCUGAUGCAGCCAUGCCGCGUGUAUGAAGAAGGCCUUCGGGUUGUAAAGUACUUUCAGCAGUGAGGAAGGUGGGUAUGUUAAUAGCAUACUCAUUUGACGUUAGCUGCAGAAGAAGCACCGGCUAACUCCGUGCCAGCAGCCGCGGUAAUACGGAGGGUGCGAGCGUUAAUCGGAAUUACUGGGCGUAAAGCGCAUGCAGGUGGUUUGUUAAGUCAGAUGUGAAAGCCCGGGGCUCAACCUCGGAAUUGCAUUUGAAACUGGCAAACUAGAGUACUGUAGAGGGGGUAGAAUUUCAGGUGUAGCGGUGAAAUGCGUAGAGAUCUGAAGGAAUACCGGUGGCGAAGGCGGCCCCCUGGACAGAUACUGACACUCAGAUGCGAAAGCGUGGGGAGCAAACAGGAUUAGAUACCCUGGUAG